rfam:Phytophthora infestans T30-4 supercont1.24 genomic scaffold, whole genome shotgun sequence.
ACCCGUCUAGCUCCGUCGGUAGAGCGCUGGCCUUUUAAGCCAGUGGUCGUGGGAUGGAUCCCCACGGGGGGUG